rnacentral:rRNA from 1 species
GACAGAGGGUGCAAACGUUGUUCGGAAUUACUGGGCGUAAAGCGAGUGUAGGCGGUCUGAAAAGUCGGAUGUGAAAGCCCCGGGCUCAACCCGGGAAGUGCAUUCGAAACUGCCAGGCUAGAGUGUCGGAGAGGUUGGUGGAAUUCUCGGUGUAGAGGUGAAAUGCGUAGAUAUUGGGAGGAACACCGGUGGCGAAGGCGGCUUUCUGGUCCGAAACUGACACUG